rnacentral:rRNA from 1 species
UGCAAGUCGAACGCGAAAGUAUUCUUCGGAGUACGAGUAGAGUGGCGCACGGGUGAGUAACGCGUAAAUAAUCUACCCUGGUGUCUGGGAUAACCCUCCGAAAGGGGGACUAAUACCGGCUAUAUGAUUAUCUGUUGGGAUAAUCAGGAAAGGUGGCCUCUUCUUGAAAGCUAUCGCACUGGGAUGAGUUUGCGUACCAUUAGCUUGUUGGUGGGGUAACGGCCCACCAAGGCGACGAUGGUUAGCGGGUCUGAGAGGAUGAUCCGUCACACUGGCACUGGAACACGGGCCAGACUCCUACGGGAGGCAGCAGUGAGGAAUAUUGCGCAAUGGGGGAAACCCUGACGCAGCGACGCCGCGUGAGUGAGGAAGGCCUUCGGGUCGUAAAGCUCUGUCAGAAGGGAAGAAGUGUGUAUGAGUUAAUACCUCAUACAUUUGACGGUACCUUCAGAGGAAGCACCGGCUAACUCCGUGCCAGCAGCCGCGGUAAUACGGAGGGUGCGAGCGUUGUUCGGAAUCACUGGGCGUAAAGGGCGCGCAGGCGGUUUCAUAAGUCAGAUGUGAAAUCCCACGGCUUAACCGUGGAAGUGCAUUUGAAACUGUGAGACUUGAGUACCAGAGGGGAAGGUGGAAUUCCCGGUGUAGAGGUGAAAUUCGUAGAUAUCGGGAGGAAUACCGGUGGCGAAGGCGACUUUCUGGCUGGAUACUGACGCUGAGGCGCGAA